UUUAAAAGGUAUACAUUUUGAUUUCUUAUAGUUAAAUCAAUCUGAUAUUUUACAUGUUUCCAUUCUAUUUUUAUUUUCCAGACCUUGGAAACCCAGGACCAUACCGAUCUAGCAAUAGCACACUCAAAAAAUAUAUGAACAAUAGACUCAACAUUUCCACACCUACUACAUCUUUCAUCCCUAACUCUGUGAUACAAGCGUUGUAUCCCUUUAAGCACAUCUUCUUCUAACGUGUCAUCAGUUUGCAGAUCCUUAAAAAGCUUCUUCGUUUUCAAUUUCUUCUUCCAUCGAUAUUCCUUGUGUCAUUUCCAUUAGACCGUCUGGAUCGGUUGCAGCCGCAUCGAGACGUCGACUGGAACGUUGAUUGGCCGACCCAUCGUGGAUGACAAGAGAUCCCCCCUUGCCACCUAGGGCCUCCAUAGAAGAAGCACAGCUCGUUGAAGGGGACGGCUCCCCCAUCUAACUACCUCGGAAAUCACCCGAGGUGUUAGAAAAAUUAGUUGUAAAGUCAGUAAAACCACAAAACGAAACUCACCAAAAAAAGGCUGUAAAACUUCUAAAACGUCCAAA